rnacentral:rRNA from 1 species
GACGAACGCUGGCGGCGUGCUUAACACAUGCAAGUCGAACGGAAAGGCCCUGCUUUUGUGGGGUGCUCGAGUGGCGAACGGGUGAGUAACACGUGAGUAACCUGCCCUUGACUUUGGGAUAACUUCAGGAAACUGGGGCUAAUACCGGAUAGGAGCUCUUGCUGCAUGGUGGGGGUUGGAAAGUUUCGGCGUUGGGGAUGGACUCGCGGCUUAUCAGCUUGUUGGUGGGGUAGUGGCUUACCAAGGCUUUGACGGGUAGCCGGCCUGAGAGGGUGACCGGCCACAGUGGGACUGAGAUACGGCCCAGACUCCUACGGGAGGCAGCAGUGGGGAAUAUUGCACAAUGGGCGGAAGCCUGAUGCAGCAACGCCGCGUGCGGGAUGACGGCCCUCGGGUUGUAAACCGCUUUCGCCUGUGACGAAGCGUGAGGGACGGUAAUGGGUAAAGAAGCACCGGCUAACUACGU